GCUGGGUGCGGUGCGCCUGGCCACCCUCGCUCCCCUCCCAGUCCGCGUCUCCUCCCCCUCGGCUCGUCUGCUCCCUGGCGUGACUCGGCACUCAGAGCUCCGGGAGGACACGUCGUGGUCGCCGCUCUUGCCCAGGCCCCGGCCUCCCGCAGCCUCUCUCGGGCUUUCUUCGUAAGUUUCGAAGCCGGAAGCGUCGCGGCCGCCCUGCCGGGCCCUCGGUGAGGAUGGUGGGAGUGAAGCCGGUCGGCAGCGAUCCAGAUUUCCAGCCGGAGCUGAGUGGGGCGGGCUCCAGACUGGCUGUGGUCAAGUUCACCAUGAGAGGGUGUGGGCCGUGUUUAAGGAUUGCUCCUGCAUUCAGUUCUAUGAGUAAUAAGUAUCCUCAGGCAGUUUUCCUGGAAGUGGAUGUACAUCAGUGCCAGGGAACAGCUGCCACCAACAACAUAUCAGCAACACCUACAUUUUUGUUUUUUCGAAACAAAGUGAGAAUCGAUCAGUAUCAAGGAGCAGAUGCUGUGGGACUAGAAGAGAAAAUCAAGCAGCAUCUAGAAAAUGAUCCUGGAAGCAAUGAGGACACAGACAUUCCGAAGGGCUAUAUGGAUUUAAUGCCUUUUAUUAACAAAGCUGGUUGUGAAUGUCUUAAUGAAAGUGAUGAGCAUGGCUUUGACAACUGUUUACGAAAAGACAUGUCCUUCUUGGAAUCUGACUGUGAUGAGCAGCUACUUAUUACUGUGGCAUUCAAUCAACCUGUUAAGCUUUAUUCCAUGAAAUUUCAAGGACCAGAUAAUGGUCAGGGUCCUAAGUACGUAAAAAUUUUUAUCAACCUACCCCGCUCUAUGGAUUUUGAGGAGGCAGAGAGGAGUGAGCCAACUCAAGCCCUGGAACUGACAGAAGAUGACAUUAAAGAAGAUGGCAUUGUUCCUCUCCGUUACGUUAAAUUUCAGAAUGUUAACAGUGUAACUUUAUUUGUUCAGUCUAAUCAAGGUGAAGAAGAAACAACAAGAAUUUCAUAUUUUACUUUUAUUGGUACUCCAGUCCAGGCAACAAAUAUGAAUGACUUCAAACGACUUUUUUAAUACAACUCAAUGAACUAAAACUGGAAGAUUUUUUUUUAAUGAAGUAAUAUAGACUUUGUCUCAUUGUACUCCCUGCCUUGCUUCAUUGCUCAUCUGUCACCUACCUACUCUCACCCUCCCCAUGUCCUCAGUUGUCGCUGCGAGAUAGAUUUCUUCAGCUUCAGCAUCUGGAUCAGCCUUCUUGUUACCUAGAUUGCCUCAACCAACUCUUCCUUCAGAUUUCAUCCCACUCAUGACUCUCAGUCAGACCUUUAUUUUGCUUGCAAUUAAGUGCCUUAAUUUUCUUACCAUAUUAUGUGACUCACAGGCAGUUUUGUUUUUGUUUUUUGUUUUUUUUUUUAACCUGCUCUUUCCUAUUUAAUUUUGUUCAAUAUUUUGAGAAAUAAUUUUGGAGCAAACUUAAAUUGUUGAAAAUGCUUUCAAGUUUAUUUAAGUAAUAUUUUCAUCCAUUUUAAAGUUUUAUAUUUUAGGAACAGGAGAAUUGUUUUUGGAAACUUAAGUAUAAGUUAUUAUUCUUUUUUUAAACUAGAGCUAGUGUUACAUACUCCUUAGGUUGUCCAGUUGAAGGACAUAUGGACUAAACAGGCUGGGUUAAAACAGUAACACAGAAGAUCAAUGGAUUCUUUGCGUAAUGAAAUUUUUUAACAUCUAAUUUUGAUGUACCUAGACUUUGGUUUAUCUGAUGUGUAACAUAAAGACUUAAGACAGAGUGAAAGAGCUUUACGUUUGGGGUAGUUGGCAAAAAAGGAGAAAGCCAUUAAGGGUACAAAAGACACUGGAAGACUUACUGCAGUCAGAUUUGCAGCUCCUGGAUAAUUGCUUGAUUCUCUUCGGAAACUGUUAAUCUUUGAUUUGUUGCCAUUACCAAUAAAUCAUUGCUUUUAUUCAGAUGGCAUCACUAGUAUUUCUAUUGUAAUCUUGAUACAUGCAGUUGUAAAUAAAAGUUACUACUUUUGCCAAGCUUAAA